rnacentral:RNase_P_RNA from 1 species
ACACAAAAGAUAAUCGCUGUUUAACUUACGUUAGAUAGAGGAAAGUCCAUGCUCGCACCAUCUGAGAUGAUGGUAGUGUUUGUGCUUAUUUAAAAAAUAAGAUAAGGCAUAGAGGCAUCUAUGACGGCAGAUGAAUACCUAAGGGAAACUAUGGUGCGAUUCUUGAAAGUGCCACAGUGACGAUGCGCAUGAGAAAUUAUGCGACUGGAACGGGUAAACCCCACAAGCGAGAAACCCAAAUUAGGUAGGGGAACUGAUAAGUCUGAAAUGAAAGACGCAUCAGACAUACUAUGUAUGUAGAUAAAUGAUUAUCAUUAACAGAACAUGGCUUAUUG